UGCUGGGAAAAGGACUCAAACCUUUAUAURAGCGUUU
rnacentral:tRNA from 1 species